GAUGAACGCUGGCGGCGUGCCUAAUGCAUGCAAGUCGAGCGAACGGACGAGAAGCUUGCUUCUCUGAUGUUAGCGGCGGACGGGUGAGUAACACGUGGAUAACCUACCUAUAAGACUGGGAUAACUUCGGGAAACCGUGGCUAAUACCGGAUAAUAUUUUGAACCGCAUGGUUCAAAAGUGAAAGACGGUCUUGCUGUCACUUAUAGAUGGAUCCGCGCUGCAUUAGCUAGUUGGUAAGGUAACGGCUUACCAAGGCAACGAUGCAUAGCCGACCUGAGAGGGUGAUCGGCCACACUGGAACUGAGACACGGUCCAGACUCCUACGGGAGGCAGCAGUAGGGAAUCUUCCGCAAUGGGCGAAAGCCUGACGGAGCAACGCCGCGUGAGUGAUGAAGGUCUUCGGAUCGUAAAACUCUGUUAUUAGGGAAGAGCAUAUGUGUAAGUAACUGUGCACAUCUUGACGGUACCUAAUCAGAAAGCCACGGCUAACUACGUG
rnacentral:rRNA from 1 species